GGUGAGUAACGCGUAUCCAACCUUCCGUACACUCAGGGAUAGCCUUUCGAAAGAAAGAUUAAUACCUGAUGGUAUGAUGAGAUUGCAUGAUAGCAUCAUUAAAGAUUUAUCGGUGUACGAUGGGGAUGCGUUCCAUUAGGUAGUAGGCGGGGUAACGGCCCACCUAGCCAACGAUGGAUAGGGGUUCUGAGAGGAAGGUCCCCCACAUUGGAACUGAGACACGGUCCAAACUCCUACGGGAGGCAGCAGUGAGGAAUAUUGGUCAAUGGACGAGAGUCUGAACCAGCCAAGUAGCGUGAAGGAUGAAGGUCCUACGGAUUGUAAACUUCUUUUAUAAGGGAAUAAACCCUCCCACGUGUGGGAGCUUGUAUGUACCUUAUGAAUAAGCAUCGGCUAACUCCGUGCCAGCAGCCGCGGUAAUACGGAGGAUGCGAGCGUUAUCCGGAUUUAUUGGGUUUAAAGGGAGCGCAGACGGGUCGUUAAGUCAGCUGUGAAAGUUUGGGGCUCAACCUUAAAAUUGCCGUUGAAACUGGGUUACUUGAGUGUGUUUGAGGUAGGCGGAAUGCGUGGUGUAGCGGUGAAAUGCAUAGAUAUCACGCAGAACUCCGAUUGCGAAGGCAGCUUACUAAACCAUAACU
rnacentral:rRNA from 1 species